ensembl:lncRNA
GUUUAAAGAGUCAUCAGUUCAGAGACUGUGACAGUCGAGAUCGAGAACGAGAAAGAAGUGAGACAGAGAAGCACGAUGGAUGAAUUCAGAUGGAUUCAAAUGUUUUCAUGUCUGAUGCUGAUGAUUCGGAUUGCAGCCUUCUCAACAGUAUCUCUAAAUGAAACAUCCAUUUUUAUGAAAGUUGGAGAUGACGUCACUCUGCCUUGUCUAAAUCUGAUAGAUCAGCAGAAUAACUGUGAUGGUACUACGUGGACGUUUGCUUCAAGAAACAAACCAACAACAAUAGAGCUGAUCACACUUGGACAGAUUGGUGAACAUGCCAAAACUAAAUCAGACAGACUGAGUGUUACAGCGAACUGUUCUGUGCUUAUAAAGAAGCUCAAAGUUGAGGAUGUUGGUUUUUAUUCCUGUCAACAAUACAAAGUCAAAGAAACACCAUCUAAACACACUCGGGUUCGUCAGUCUUUCGUUGAUCUCUCUGUUAUUACCUUGACUGAACAUAAGAACAUUGAUAAGGGGAUACUAAACUGCUCUGUGCUGACACAUGGAGAGUGUCAUCACACAGUGAUGUGGCAAAUUAAAGGUAAAGAUGUGGACAAAGAGGACAACGAAAUAGUGACUUCACAGACUGUUUGCUCCACCACAGUGUCCAUUCCAGAGUCUCACUUUCUUUAUUCAUCAAGAUAUAACAUAUUGGCAUGUGAAGUGACUGACAGUAAAAUAGGAAAAGUGCAGCUGUUUACCUUCACUUCUCAGCCAUCAGGUGAAGAAACAGGUGAGUUUAUGAUCAACUGUUUAAGGUGAAUAAAAUCCCCUAAGACAUAUAUUUGACUGAUUUUAAGUUUCUUUUUACCACAAUGCUUUUUUCCUUAUAUUUAUAAAACAAAAACAUGUAGUUGUUUUUUUUUAAAAUGAUAUUAUACAUUUAUUCAGGUGACACAAAAUCAACAAAGACACCAUCCAGAAAAACUGAAAGCAACACAAAUUCAGAAACAAAUACAACAAUAAUGAAGGAUGAUUCACAAGAUUAAAAUGUGCCGGACUUGAUAAAUGAAGAACCUAAACAAGCACUACAUGAGGAGAAAAACUGAAAAAAUGUUUCAUGAGAUUUUUCUGUAUCUUUGAGGUCCAUUAUUAUCUCUGUGGGGUUAGCAGCAACUUUAAUAACUGCUGUGACAGUCAACAUAUGGACAAGGACUAAAGGGAACACGACCAAGAUGGAUAAAACAAUACAUUAUGAUCAAGAUGAAGACGAUGUUACAAUUCAUUAUGAAAACAUCGGGGUUUCUGCUGCUUCAGUCAGAUUCAACUGAUCAACUUCAACUCAGCAGAGGAAAUGGCUUUUAUAUUACCAGUAUCAUCUCAUCCAGUUUUAUAGAUUAAAUCGUAUAAAACAGAUAACGAUGUAAGUCGUUCCCAUUAAGUUCAUUCUGCUCAUCUGCGUGUUUUGUUUUCAGUGGGAGAAAUGUUUCGUCAUUCAUCCAAGUGACUUCUUUAGUCUUCUUCAAUCACUCGGAUAUUUGACGAAACACGUUCCCCCUGAAACCGCUAUGAUCUGAUUGAGCAUGCAUCAAGACCAUAUACAUAGUUGUUUUGUGUUUCAGUAUUCUGACUAUGGAUUUAUAUUUAGGUCUUGAACUUGUAUGAGUUUUAUCACAUCCUGUUCAUCCUGUUCAGACCUUCACUCACAUCUUUGGUUGAAUAGACUUAGAUAGAAGAAGAGGAGUUGAGGAUGUACAAACCGAGGAAUAGGUAGCCAAUAAACCACUUCCCAAUCAACUCUCUUCUAUGUAUAGAAGAGAGUUCUAGUUCCACUCUAAACGUAUCUACCCAUUUGACCUACUUGACCACAGUUUCUCUUUUACAUUCGUUAAUAAACCACAUAAAGACUGUUUCUGUGCAAGUGGAUCUUUUUUAUGCUCUCUUAAUAUAUUUG